UGGGGGUAAGACCUGGCAACUCCUUGACAAGCGAAGUGGAGAGCUAUUUCAAGAACGCUACGAGAGACGAUGCUUUAUAGUUGCCAAAGAGUCCCAGUUUCCUUGCAGUGUUCUAAGGCUCCAAUUCGCAGCCGUAAGAGAGACUGU